AAGAAGAAAGAAUAUGAGCAUUGUGGAUUGUUUCUCUUUGAAUUGAAUUCACGUACACGUGCAUUUUUGAGUUUUUCAUGUUUCUAUACUUCGGAGAUCAAUUGACUGAUUAAUUGAGAUGUAUGGGAGUUCAAAAAUCUAUACUUUGGAGAUCAACAUUACUGAUUAAUUGAGAAAUCUGGGAGAUCUUCUGAACUUCCAAUUAUGUUGCUAUAUCAUGGUUUUAAGACUUCAAUCUUACCCGCUUUUGUCAUAGUAGAAUAGAACACUCUUAGAGCAUAAUAGAAUACUUUUAUCAGAUUUGCAGUUGCGAACAUAUAUGCAUUCCAAUCUUAACCUCUUAUGACGUAAUAAAACAUUCUUAAAGCUUAAUGGAAGUGUGCUAUCAGUUUUAGGCUUUAUAACAGUUUUAUGCCAUAAUAGAACAGUUGUAAAGGUUAAAUAGAACACUCUUAAUAGCUAGCUUUAUGAUUGUCAACACUCCUUUGUCAUAGUAGAAUAGAACACUCUUAAGGCUUAGUAGAACAGUUGUAAAGGUGAAUAGAACAUUUUUAAUAGCUUUAUGGUUGUGAACAAUUUUUUGUCAUAGUAGAAUAGAAUAAUUUUAUUGCAUAAUAGAACAGUUAUAAAGGUUAAAAGAACACUCUAUUAGCUUUAUGGUUGUCAACACUCUUUUGUCAUAGUAGAAUAAAAUACUUUUAUGCCAUAAAAGAACAGUUGUAAAGGUUAAAAGAACACUCUUAAUAGCUAGCUUUAUGGUGUCAACACUCCUUUCUCAUAGUAGAAUAGAACACUCUUAGAGUUUAAUAGAACAGUUUUAUCAAGUUUACACUUGCGAACAUGUAUACAUUGCAAUCUUACUCUUUUGUGUCUAUUAUAAAGCUUAAUAGAAAACUGCUAUCAUUUUUUUAGUUUAGAAUAGUUUUAUGCCAUAAUAUAAUAGUUGUAAAGCUUAAUAGAACACUCUUAAUAGGUGUAUGGUUGUGAACAAUCUUUUGUCAUAGUAGAAUAGAACACUUUUUAUGCCAUAAUAUAUAGAAUAGGUGUAAAGGUUAAAAGAACACUCUAUUAGCUUUAUGGUUGUCAACACUCUUUUGUCAUAGUAGAAUAAAACACUUUUAUGCCAUAAUAGAACAGUUGUAAAGGUUAAUAGUUAAUAGAACACUCUUAAUAGCUAGCUUUAUUGUGUCAACACUCUUUUCUCAUAGUAGAAUAGAACACUCUUAGAGCUUAAUAGAAUAGUUUUAUCAAGUUUACACUUGCGAACAUGUAUACAUUGCAAUCUUACUCUUUUGUGUCUAUUAUAAAGCUUAAUAGAAAACUGCUAUCAUUUUUUUAGUUUAGAACAGUUUUAUGCCAUAAUAGAACAGUUGUAAAGCUUAAUAGAACACUCUUAAUAGGUGUAUGGUUGUGAACAAUCUUUUGUCAUAGUAGAAUAGAACACUCUUUGAGCUUACUAGAACACUAUUUUCUCGUUACUUUCAGAACGAAAUUAUGUGUUUACUUGUGGUUCAUA
rnacentral:lncRNA from 1 species